AACGAACGCUGGCGGCGUGCUUAACACAUGCAAGUCUAAAGGGAAUGUCGGCUUCGGCUGACUAGUACCUUGGCGAACGGGUGAGUAACACGUGGGUAAUCUGCCCUCGAGCUCGGGAUAACCUUGCGAAAGCGAGGCUAAUACCGGAUAAGACCACGCCCUGUACGCAGGGAGCGGUCAAAGGUGGCCUCUUCUUGAAAGCUAUCACUUGAGGAUGAGCCCGCGGCCUGUUAGCUAGUUGGUAGGGUAACGGCCUACCAAGGCGACGAUGGGGAGCCGGCCUGAGAGGGUGUACGGCCACACUGGAACUGAGACACGGUCCAGACUCCUACGGGAGGCAGCAGUGGGGAAUUUUGCGCAAUGGGGGAAACCCUGACGCAGCAACGCCGCGUGAGUGAUGAAGGCCUUCGGGUUGUAAAGCUCUUUUAGUGGGGAAGAAGCCCUCCGGGGUUAAUACCUCCGGGGUCUGACGGUACCCACAGAAAAAGUUCCGGCUAACUACGUGCCAGCCGCCGCGGUAACAC
rnacentral:rRNA from 1 species